rnacentral:rRNA from 1 species
GAUGAACGCUGACAGAAUGCUUAACACAUGCAAGUCAACUUGAACUUCGGUUUGGGUGGCGGACGGGUGAGUAACGCGUAAAGAACUUGCCUCACAGCUAGGGACAACAUUUGGAAACGAAUGCUAAUACCUGAUAUUAUGAUUAUAUGGCAUCGUAUAAUUAUGAAAGCUAUAUGCGCUGUGAGAGAGCUUUGCGUCCCAUUAGCUAGUUGGAGAGGUAACAGCUCACCAAGGCGAUGAUGGGUAGCCGGCCUGAAAGGGUGAUCGGCCACAAGGGGACUGAGACACGGCCCUUACUCCUACGGGAGGCAGCAGUGGGGAAUAUUGGACAAUGGACCGAGAGUCUGAUCCAGCAAUUCUGUGUGCACGAUGAAGUUUUUCGGAAUGUAAAGUGCUUUCAGUUGGGAAGAAAAAAAUGACGGUACCAACAGAAGAAGUGACGGCUAAAUACGUG